GCCCCCGUAGCUCAGUGGACAGAGCGCGGGUUUCCUAGACCAGGGGUCGGCGGUUCGAAUCCGUCCGGGGGCA
rnacentral:tRNA from 1 species